rnacentral:rRNA from 1 species
UACAGAGGUCCCAAGCGUUGUUCGGAUUUACUGGGCUUAAAGGGUGCGCAGGCGGUCAGAUAAGUCGGGUGUGAAAUCCCAAGGCUUAACCUUGGAACUGCGCCCGAAACUGUCUGGCUCGAGGAUUGGAGAGGAGACUGGAAUUCACGGUGUAGCGGUGAAAUGCGUAGAUAUCGUGAGGAACACCAACGGCGAAGGCAGGUCUCUGGACAAUUCCUGACGCUCAUGCACGAAAGCCAGGGGAGCAAACGGG